rnacentral:rRNA from 1 species
AUUGAACGCUGGCGGCAGGCCUAACACAUGCAAGUCGAGCGGCAGCGGAAAGUAGCUUGCUACUUUGCCGGCGAGCGGCGGACGGGUGAGUAAUGUCUGGGAAACUGCCUGAUGGAGGGGGAUAACUACUGGAAACGGUAGCUAAUACCGCAUGACCUCGAAAGAGCAAAGUGGGGGAUCUUCGGACCUCACGCCAUCGGAUGUGCCCAGAUGGGAUUAGCUAGUAGGUGAGGUAAUGGCUCACCUAGGCGACGAUCCCUAGCUGGUCUGAGAGGAUGACCAGCCACACUGGAACUGAGACACGGUCCAGACUCCUACGGGAGGCAGCAGUGGGGAAUAUUGCACAAUGGGCGCAAGCCUGAUGCAGCCAUGCCGCGUGUGUGAAGAAGGCCUUAGGGUUGUAAAGCACUUUCAGCGAGGAGGAAGGCACCAUACUUAAUACGUGUGGUGAUUGACGUUACUCGCAGAAGAAGCACCGGCUAACUCCGUGCCAGCAGCCGCGGUAAUACGGAGGGUGCAAGCGUUAAUCGGAAUUACUGGGCGUAAAGCGCACGCAGGCGGUUUGUUAAGUCAGAUGUGAAAUCCCCGCGCUUAACGUGGGAACUGCAUUUGAAACUGGCAAGCUAGAGUCUUGUAGAGGGGGGUAGAAUUCCAGGUGUAGCGGUGAAAUGCGUAGAGAUCUGGAGGAAUACCGGCGGCGAAGCGGCCCCCUGGACAAAGACUGACGCUCAGUGCGAAAGCGUGGGGAGCAAACAGG